rnacentral:rRNA from 1 species
AGUUCUGGGCCGCACGCGCGCUACACUGACUGAGCCAGCGAGUUUAUAACCUUGACCGAAAGGCCUGGGUAAUCUUGUGAAACUCAGUCGUGCUGGGGAUAGAGCAUUGCAAUUAUUGCUCUUCAACGAGGAAUGCCUAGUAAGCGCAAGUCAUCAGCUUGCGUUGAUUACGUCCCUGCCCUUUGUACACACCGCCCGUCGCUACUACCGAUUGAAUGGCUUAGUGAGAUCUCCGGAUUGGCUUUGGGAAGCUGGCAACGGCUACCUAUUGCUGAGAAGCUGAUCAAACUUGGUCAUUUAGAGGAAGUAAAAGUCGUAACAAGGUUUCCGUAGGUGAACCUGCGGAAGGAUCAUUAAUGAUUAACUGUCUGUCGAGCUUGCUCACAGACUUAUCAUAUCCAUAACACCUGUGCACUUGUCGGAUGGCUUAGUGAAGACCGCAAGGUUGGAACUAUCCAUCUACUUUACAUAACAAUUUAGUAACAAAUGUAGUCUUAUUAUAACAUAAUAAAACUUUCAACAACGGAUCUCUUGGCUCUCGCAUCGAUGAAGAACGCAGCGAAAUGCGAUAAGUAAUGUGAAUUGCAGAAUUCAGUGAAUCAUCGAAUCUUUGAACGCACCUUGCGCUCCCUGGUAUUCCGGGGAGCAUGCCUGUUUGAGUGUCAUGAAAACCCUCAACCUUAGAUUGGUUAACACCUUUCUUUGGCUUGGAUUUGGACGUUUGCCGAUGAUAAGUCGGCUCGUCUUAAAAGUAAUAGCUGGAUCUGUCUCGCGACAUGGUUUGACUUGGCGUAAUAAGUAUUUCCUAAGGACAUCUUCGGAUGGGCGCGUUGCAAGACUAAAGACCGCUUUCUAAUCCAUUGAUCUUCGGAUUAAUAUUCUUGACAUCUGGGCCUCAAAUCAGGGAGGGACUACCCCCCUGGAACUUUAGCCUUAUCAUUAGCCGGAGGAAAAGAAACUAACAAGGGAUUCCCCUUAUAACCGCCAAUGGAACCGGGAAGAACUCCAAUUU